rnacentral:lncRNA from 1 species
GAGCUUGAGAAGGAAUCAGAUUCUGCAUAUAUUUCCAAGUUAACAUGAACAAGAUUUUCUGAAAGACUGCUAUGGAGUCUGAGAAAAAAUGUCAAAGGUAGUGCCAAAAUUGUCACUUAAAGAACUGCAGGAAUGGAGUUGGCAUUUACAGAAUUUGGAAGAGAAGCAGGUUUAGUGAUAAAGACCAGAAGCACAGAGCUAAGCAUAUUAAAUAUUGAGGACAUGAAGAGGAAAGAACUGACAGAGGAGGUGAAGAAAGGUGAUCAGGAAGAGCCAUCAAAGUGUUAUCCUGGAAUUCAAGUGAAGACAGUGUUUCAAAGAUAUGCCACAGAGAGGAUCCAGAGAGCUCAUCUCCGGUCAGUUAUCUGUAUUUGCAUGUCAACUACAGCAUCAAAAAGCAUAGGCAUGGAUACUAAGGACCCCCUCUGUACACCAACGCCAGUCCAAAGGAUAGUGUGUCACUGUGAACUGGAAAUUCAUCUCUCUUCUUCAUUUUUUUUCUACCUACUUUAUGCUUUAUCUCUAAGUUGAGGCUGUUUAUGGCCUCAUCCUCAAUUACCUUGUCCCUC